UUGUUAUUUGGCGCUAUCCAGGGAGCACCCUUGAUUGAAUUUAAACUAAAGUACUCAUUAGAAACACUUUAAAAGCAACAGCCACACUUCACAGACAUGGCCAGAGCUAAUGCUCCUACAUGAGACAGGUUUUUUGGAUACACAAGCCUUCAUGGCGAGAUACGUGUGGCAGAUGUUACUGCGUACGCCAGGGGGUCUUCGACUCCAGUCCUCGAGGUCCAGUGUCCCGGAACAUUUAGAUGUGUCUCGGGUCUAACACACCUGAAUCAAAUGGCUCAAUUACCUCCUCAGAAUGCAGUCAAGCUAUCCAGAGUCUUGCUAAUGAGCUGCUGAAGCAGAGAUGCGUACAGAACCUGCAGGAUACCGGACCUCGAGGACUGGCGUUGAAGACCCCUGAUUUCUAGGCUGUUAUCAGGGGGUAAAGUAGCAGGGAGAAGUCGGAGGUGGGAACUGAUGCGCACGUGCAUGCUGCUUUGCACAUCAGGAACAGUGGCCUGCCACCCUGGGAUGCCUGGGAGCAUUUUGGGGCUAAAAUUGCAGUCUUUGGGAUUCGAACCAGGGAACUUGCAGCCUUUCCCUGAUGCAAGCUCUCUGCUCUGAUCACUAGACGACCACUUCCCCACGCAUAAUGAGUACACAUACGUAGCUGUAUCCCAGAAUGGAGCUCCAUGUCAUUUUAUCCUCAGUGACUCCCAGUUUGUACCACUAACGAAGCACGGUGACAAAUUAACAACAUGGAUAAUAAUAAAUAGGACAUAAAUCUAUAGAUACAUGUUACUGUAUAUAGUUUUAAGAUUUUAUACUAAAUCCUGUUUCUACCGUGUUUCAGACCCGUGUUUAAUUUGGUAAACUCUCUGCGGCAGGUAUGAAUUUAGAAAUUCAGCACAAGACAUCCUGUUGAAUAAUUAAAAGUAUAAAGCUAUGUUUAUCAUCCACCAGUCUCACUAGCCUUUAUUUAUUUGCGGUCAUCAUAUCCACUCCUUAAACAACACGCUACGUCUGUAAUUUAAAAUAUUUACAUUGAUUUAGAAUGCAUUUAAUAGGAUUAAAACUUCUGUCAUAUAGUGGCGGAUAUGAACUAGCCCUGUUGUUAUGCUCCUAUUGGCUUAGGCUGCUGGAGGACGUACUCCAGACGCUUUUACUCACUCCGCUAAUUUCUCCUACUACUCUACAAUUAUAUAUUACAUAUGGCUAUAGCUGACAUCAACUAUAUGUUAUCUGUUUUUAUUGAAGCAACAUCUGUUCUGGCAUUGCUGUUUAGCAGAGACACCUUUCUGGAGGGGAUCAUCACCUAAGCUACUGCUGCCAAUAAUGUCACCUGUCUAUGGUUUAUAUAAUUUACCCCUUUCUUUCUGUGCU